GGCGGGGAAAAGUUACAACAAGCCAAUAGAGUUCAACCAAGAGGACAAUAUGUCAUAUGAAUCCACUCAAGCCUCCCACGGUUCAGAAGAGGCAUUUCGCCAUGUUAAAAGACUGGAGGAAGAUGUUAUUCAUCUCCCAAAAGAGGAUGAAAAUGAUAUGUCUAACAAACAUGAGGAGCAAUUGGAAGAUGAAUUGCACCCCUAUGGGUAUGGUAACGAUGAUUGUGAAAGAUUGGGAGGAUUCAUUAAGGAAAAUGACAUGACAGAAAGAAUCGAUAAGUUCAACCAAGAGGAGAUUAUCUCAUAUGAAUCUGCUCAAGCUUCUCACUGGUCAGAAGAGGUAUUUCACCAUGUUGAAAGAGUGGAGGAAGGUGACAUAAAUUUCACAAAAGUGGAUGAUGAAAAUGAUAUGUCUAACAAACGUGAGGAACAACAUGCACUGAACCCCAAUGGGGAUGUAAAGGAUGAAUGGGAUCGAGUGGCAGGGUACAAUGAAGAGAAUGGAAUUGGAGAAAGAAUGGAUGAUUGGAAAGAAGCAAAGUAUCAUGUGAAAGAGGAAGAGAUGUGGAAUAACAGAGAAGCCCAACCCAAUCGGUCUGAUCAAGAGUAUAUACCUUCAAAUGAAGAGAAACAAAAUCUAUUCGAGCAAGAGCAAAUACCUUCAGGCAGAGAGAAACUGAAUCAGUCUGAGCAAAGGUAUAUCAAUUCAAACGGAGAGAAACUGAAUCAAUCUGAGCAAGAACAUAUACCUUCAGGCGGAGAGAAACUGAAUCAAUCCGAGCCAGAGUACAUAACUUCAGGCGGAGAGAAACAGAACGUAAAUGCACAAGAACACAUAACAACAGACGGAGAGAAAAUGAAUCAAUCCGAGUCAGAGUAUAUACCUUCAGGUGGAGAGAAACUGAAUCAAUCCGAGCCAGAGUACAUAACUUCAGGCGGAGAUAAACUGAAUAUAUCCGACAAUGACAAAGAGGAUCAUGAUGAGGCAAACUACUGUCAAAAUAAUUCUGUUUCAUGGAGGGCUGAGCUAGAAGGCGACAGCUAUGCUCAGGACAACACACUAGCCGACACACACCCCUUGAUCCGUUACAAGAGUGACGAGACGGAUGUCAACACUCUGGCUUCACACAUGGGCGAGAGCGACUCCAGUGAUGGUGAAGAGGACAGGGAGGUUUGCCAGACAGGAACAGACACCUGGGGCGAAGGCAAGUCCAAACAGUUUGACACCAUGGAGGAUCUGUAUGAAGAGUCAGAAGGAGAUGUCAUAGAUCAGGAACGUCACAUGGGCUCCACUCACCAAGGCGACGUGGAUGCUAGCCAAACAAAGGAGCAUGCUACACAGGAGAACGAUGAGGAGAAUGCUGUAGAUCAGUUGAUUCAGGAGGCAGAAGAGGAGCAAUCCUAUGAGGAACUUACAGAACCUGGAGAGUACUCCAUGGUGUGCUCUGAUGAGGACUAUAAUGAAGAAAGAAUUGAUAGAUUGGUGGAGCAAGAGCUAGAGAAUUUAUCUAUAUCCAGUUACAGUGAACACUUUACUGGGCAGAUGAUUGAGAGCGAGUCAGUACUGAGUCUUCAAAUUGAGUCUCACACUGAACUUUCCCAGACACAAGACAUAUUAUACAGUGAGGAGGUAGAGCAGAUACACUCAGAGAGACUGAAUCAAACUGAGCAAAAGUAUAUACACUCAGAGAGACUGAAUCAACCUGAGCAAGAGUAUAUACACUCAGAGAGACUGAAUCAAUCUGAACAAGAGUAUAUACCUUCAGGAGGAGAGAAACUGAAUCUAAAUGCACAAGAACACAUACCCACAGAUGGAGAGAAUCUGAAUCAAUCUGAACAAGAGUAUAUACCCUCAGGCAGAGAGAAACUGAAUCUAUAUGUGCAAGAAAACAUACCCUCAGAUGGAGAGAAAAUGAAUCAAUCUGAACAAGAGAAGAUACCUUCAGGAGGAGAGAAACUGAAUCAAUCUGAGCCAGAGUAUAUAAUUUCAGGCGGAGAGAAACUGAAUCAAUCUGAGUCAGAGUACAUAACUUCAGGCGGAGAGAAACAGAACGUAAAUGCACAAGAACACAUACCAACAGACGGAGAGAAAAUGAAUCAAUCCGAGUCAGAGUAUAUACCUUCAGGUGGAGAGAAACUGAAUCAAUCCGAGCCAGAGUACAUAACUUCAGGCGGAGAGAAACUGAAUCUAUAUGUGCAAGAACACAUACCCUCAGACAGAGAGAAAAUGAAUCAAUCCGAGCAAGAAAAUAUACCUUUAGGUGGAGAAAAACUGAAUCAAUUCGAGCAAGAAAAUAUACCUUUAGGUGGACAGAAACUGAAUCAAUUCGAGCCAGAGUAUAUAAUUUCAGGCGGAGAGAAACUGAAUCUAUAUGAACAAG
ensembl:lncRNA